GGGUAUCCACAGAUAGCACCAAGCAUCCUGUCUUCUAAAUGUGAACGCUAACAUGUUGUGGCACUAGCCACACAAGUGUUUAAAUAAACACUCCCUUUAGUUAAAAUGCCUGGCCAGGUAACUUCUUAAUUAUUGUAUCUAUUUAAUUAAGGAUUCCCCUUUAAGAAGGCUGAACUCCCAUGAGCCUUUGUUCUUUUUUAAACAGGUAGAGGGUUGAAGGGAGGCAGGUUUUGUGUUCUGGGUUCCUCCAUUUUGUGUAUGGCAGUGUGGUUUGUGUGCAGGUUCUGAAUGGGUUCCAGUUGACUUUCAGGAUUUUAUUUACAAGAAAAUUAUAUUAAAUAAGAACUAUACCUACCUUGGAGCAUCUCUUGGACAACUUGUUGCUGUUGGACUGCCACUGGAACUACAGAAUAAGCAUCAACAAACAAACAAACAGUCAGGUCUGUGAGGAUGAGAAGGUCUCCACAGUCUGGAGUCUGAUCUCUGACAGCCUCAACAUACCUGUCAAUCAACAGGGACUCCUCUACAAAGGCAAGGCGCUGGCAGGUAGGCUGAACAGCACAGCACAGCACAGCACAGCACAGCUCACCCCUCCUCUCACCCCUCGCCUCGCCCCUCCUCUCACCCCUCGCCUCACCCCUCCUCUCACUCCUCGCCUCACCCCGGGUCAGUGUGGCACAGCCUGCCUGCUCUUCUAAACAAACACUUCAGCCCUGCCGACGCAGUGAGAGUCUGGAGCAGCUACACAAGGUGAUGAAGUGACACUUUGAAUAUGGGGCCUGAUGAGAGAAGUAUCCUUUUCAUGUGGUUUUGGUUUUGCCGUUGUGAGCAGGUGUGGGAGACAGCACCGUGUCUGCAUGUGAAAUAACAAAGUCAUCGCAGUGGAGGGACUCUCUGAAGGCUGCUGUUUGUGGAUUUGUCUUGUAAUGUGAGUGAUCUACUGUACUGUGAUGCCACUGUCUGUACGCACGCUGCACUGCAGGGGAGACACCGCUGGCAUUCACAGGGCAUGCUUGUUCAUUUAAAGCACGCUGCACUGCAGGGGAGACACCAACCUUCUGGACAAAGCCAAAACAGAUAGAGGAGUGACCAAAGUGAUCCUAUCAUUCGGAAUCAACAACAAGGACCAGAAAGUCAAAGAGACAGCUAUCAAAAACCUACAAAGGAUGUACAGGUCAGCAAAGACAACCUUCCCAACUGCAGAAAUCAAAGUGCCACUGGUGAACUUCUCACGAGCACUAGACAUGCAGGCCCAACGGAACUUGGAAGAACUAAACGGAUUCAUCUCAGCCAACCUACCACACAUACCGCUAUUACCAACUGAGAAAUUUCAAGUAGGCGGAGACAACAUCCACUGGACAACCAACACAGCCAAAGAUAUGCUCCAGCACUGGUGCCAGCAUUUAAACUAGGAGACCCCACAAGCCCAAAUAUCUCCAGGGAGGGGGCAUCCAACAUAGUCAAUCUAUGUAAAUACUUCACACCAACAGAGUCAAAACAGCCUUUUGAGCAAAGGCCUCUCCUUCAUACCCACACCGCAAACUAAAGCAACACAGAAGCAGACACUGCGAGCAGAAACACAAGACUACCAUAGGAGGCUAAAAAUCGCAACCUAUUUUACUGCAUUUAAUCCUGUACUUUAGAGUACUGUAAUCUGUCAAGUGUCAUUUAAUCUGUGGUAUUUUGUAUUUAAUUAUAUCCUGAUGUAACUAUCACUGACACUGUUAUCUGCUCCGUUAUUGAAUCGUAUUUUGUCAUAUACUUGUACUUGCUAGAACCAAAGUCAUUGUAUUUUAUCUUGCUCUUAAUUGUAUUAAUACUUGUACUGUGAUUCUUGAAAUGUUUUUUUGUUUACGACUGUAAGGUUGCCCUGGAUAAGGGCAUCUGCUGAGAAAUAAAUAAUAAUCAAUCAAUCAAUACCAGAGCUGCAACCAAGAUUUUACAAUCCAAGAGAAAACAGCUGGGCAAAUGAGUCAUCAGUGCUCCUUCUAACAGUUACCCAAAUCAAGAUUUUACAAGAUUACACCACUGAGGACAGCGGACUGCUUAUCUGAUCUUGUGUUUGCUCAUGUAUACUGUCUUUAUUUUUCAGUAUAAAUCUGAGAUGAAUUGAUUGGUUAUCUCUCAAAGAGUUAAUGAAGGUCAGGAAGGAAACCGGUUCAUUAAAAAUGGGCUGAACUGAAGCUUUUUAAAUGUUUAUUGUUUGGUCUGGAGCAAACUCCUUCCUUAUGCCUUGUGGCAGAUGCACUUCAUUGGGAUCAGUGAGAGGGUGUAUUGUGAACUGGAGCUCCUCUGAGGUGAAGCACCAGAGCAGCAGCUGAUGUCCAGUCUCCCUGGUAACCUGACACAGUGCACAGCCUCCCUGCUUGACACAGUGCACAGACUCCCUAUCUGACACAGUGCACAGUCUCCCUGGCAACCUGACACAGUGCACAGACGCCCUGCCUGACACAGUGCACAGACUCGCUGGUAACCUGACACAGUGCACAGUCUCCCUGGCAACCUGACACAGUGCACAGACUCGCUGGUAACCUGACACAGUGCACAGACUCGCUGCCUGACACAGUGCACAGUCUCCCUGGCAACCUGACACAGUGCACAGACUCGCUGGUAACCUGACACAGUGCACAGACUCGCUGGUAACCUGACACAGUGCACAGUCUCCCUGGCAACCUGACACAGUGCACAGACGCCCUGCCUGACACAGUGCACAGUCUCCCUGGUAACCUGACACAGUGCACAGACGCCCUGCCUGACACAGUGCACAGACUCCCUGCCUGGCACAGUGCACAGACUCGCUGGUAACCUGACACGGUGCACAGACUUGCUGGUAACCUGACACAGUGCACAGACGCCCUGUCUGACACAGUGCACAGACUCGCUGGUAACCUGACACAGUGCACAGAGUCCCUGCCUGCCACAGUGCACAGACUCGCUGGUAACCUGACACAGUGCACAGACUCGCUGGUAACCUGACACAGUGCACAGUAUCCCUGCCUGACACAGUGCACAGAGUCCCUGCCUGCCACAGUGCACAGUCUCCCUGGCAACCUGACACAGUGCACA